UUUCCGUAGGUGAACCUGCGGAAGGAUCAUUCAUAAUAAGUGUUUUAUGGCACUUUUUUAAAUCCAUAUCCACCUUGUGUGCAAUGUCAGGGUUGAUUUUUCUCUCGAGAGGAUCAACCCCAAACAUCAACUAUAUCUCAACUCUUUGUCUGAAAAAUAUUAUGAAUAAAACAAUUCUAAAUACAACUUUCAACAACGGAUCUCUUGGCUCUC
rnacentral:misc_RNA from 1 species